rnacentral:rRNA from 1 species
AUUGAACGCUGGCGGCAUGCCUUACACAUGCAAGUCGAACGGCAGCGGGGGAGAAGCUUGCUUUUCCUGCCGGCGAGUGGCGAACGGGUGAGUAAUACAUCGGAACGUGCCCUGUAGUGGGGGAUAACUAGUCGAAAGAUUAGCUAAUACCGCAUACGACCUGAGGGUGAAAGUGGGGGACCGCAAGGCCUCAUGCUAUAGGAGCGGCCGAUGUCUGAUUAGCUAGUUGGUGGGGUAAAGGCCUACCAAGGCGACGAUCAGUAGCUGGUCUGAGAGAACGAUCAGCCACACUGGGAAUGAGACACGGCCCAGACUCCUACGGGAGUCAGCAGUGGGGAAUUUUGGACAAUGGGCGAAAGCCUGAUCCAGCAAUGCCGCGUGUGUGAAGAAGGCCUUCGGGUUGUAAAGCACUUUUGUCCGGAAAGAAAUGGCUCUGGUUAAUACCUGGGGUCGAUGACGGUACCGGAAGAAUAAGGACCGGCUAACUACGUGCCAGCCGCCGCCGUAA